GUGCUUGCUUUGGCAGCACAUAUACUAAAAUUGGAACGGUACAGAGAAGAUUAGCAUGGCCCCUGUGCAAGGAUGACAUGCAAAACUGAAGGCAAUCUGGAAAAUUAU